UACAGAGGUCUCAAGCGUUGUUCGGAUUCAUUGGGCGUAAAGGGUGUGUAGGUGGCACCGUAAGUCGGGUGUGAAAUUUCGGAGCUUAACUCCGAAACUGCAUUCGAUACUGGCGUGCUUGAGGACUGGAGAGGAGACUGGAAUUCAUGGUGUAGCAGUGAAAUGCGUAGAGAUGCGGAGGAACACCGAUGGCGAAGGCAGCCCCCUGGGCUAGCACUGACGCUCAGGCACGAAAGCGUGGGGAGCAAACAGG
rnacentral:rRNA from 1 species